AACGAACGCUGGCGGCAGGCUUAACACAUGCAAGUCGAACGGGUGCAGCAAUGCAUCAGUGGCAGACGGGUGAGUAACACGUGGGAACCUUCCUAGAGGUACGGAACAACGCAGGGAAACUUGUGCUAAUACCGUAUACGCUCGAGAGAGGAAAGAUUUAUCGCCUUUAGACGGGCCCGCGUCGGAUUAGCUAGUUGGUGAGGUAACGGCUCACCAAGGCGACGAUCCGUAGCUGAUCUGAGAGGAUGAUCAGCCACACUGGAACUGAGACACGGUCCAGACUCCUACGGGAGGCAGCAGUGGGGAAUCUUGGACAAUGGGCGCAAGCCUGAUCCAGCCAUGCCGCGUGAGUGAAGAAGGCCUUCGGGUUGUAAAGCUCUUUUGUCAGGGACGAUAAUGACGGUACCUGAAGAAUAAGCCCCGGCAAACUUCGUGCCAGCCGCCGCAGUAA
rnacentral:rRNA from 1 species